rnacentral:rRNA from 1 species
CUACGGGAGGCAGCAGUGGGGAAUUUUGCACAAUGCCCGAAAGGGUGAUGCAGCAACGCCGCGUGAGGGAUGAAGGCCUUCGGGUCGUAAACCUCUUUCGAUCGGGAAAAACGGGCGGGUGAAGAACCCGCUCUGAUGGUACCGGAUGAAGAAGCCCCGGCCAACUACGUGCCAGCAGCCGCGGUAAUACGUAGGGGGCAAGCGUUGUUCGGAAUUACUGGGCGUAAAGGGCGUGUAGGCGGUGCGGUAAGUUGGGCGUGAAAUCCCCGGGCUUAACUCGGGGCGGUCGUUCAAAACUGCCGUGCUGGAGUGUGGGAGAGGGAAGUGGAAUUCCCGGUGUAGCGGUGAAAUGCGUAGAUAUCGGGAAGAACACCUGUGGCGAAGGCGGCUUCCUGGCCCACAACUGACGCUGAGGCGCGAAAGCUAGGGGAGCAAACAGGAUUAGAUACCCCUGUAGUCCG